rnacentral:lncRNA from 1 species
UUUGAGUUCUUUUGCUAAAAAUGAGGCUUUGGCUUGGAAACUGUAGGAAACUCAGUGGCAGGGUGGGAGGGCUGGGAGGGACAGGAGAGGAGUGGGGAAAUAGGCCACUUAGGCCGCCGGGGAGGAUGACGACCAGGGAAAUACACCAGAGCGCUCUCUGACAGGGCAUCUGAGGUCGGAGGCUGCGGGCUCUACCCCGGGGCCGAUCCAGUUCAGGGAGGUCAGAAAGGCAGCUCGGAACGCGCCCAACCGGGACUGGAAACGUGUGAAACUCUCGGUUCAGCCCGAUUCCGCCUCGUCCAGGCAGCUUGUCUUGGGGGCACCCUAACCUCUCCGAACCUCAGUUUCCCCAUCUUGGGGUCACUGAAGCCGGAAGUUGUAGAAGCACCUAGGAAGCUACGGGGUCCUGCAUCCGGACCAGUUUCCGGCUUUGCGCUCCCCAAUUCGGCCAGUUCGCCACUUGAGACCUGCCCGUUUCUGGAUUUUAAUGGCCUUUUUUCCCAGGCAGAGGUGAAAGAAACCCGGGAAGCCUCCUGGAAAUCCCAUUGACUUGGCAGAAAGAAGAGCUGGACGAUGACUAGAAGGUUCCAGAAGACAUCAUGGGGAGACAUCUCAGGAAGGAAAAGUGAAUUAUCCACAGGGAUUCAGGGGCGGUGCUCCCCAUCGAAGGCUGGCAUCAGGAAAGACUCUGAGGUCAGAUCCAGACACGGGAUUGGAGGUGCUGAUAAACUCUGCUGCGGCACAGACUUUGGGGAGAAGAACUCCAGCGAGGUUAGCAGAGGAGCUGAGACUGGAAGAGGACUCAAAGAAUGGAAGAUGUCAGCAAUUUACCAGUAGUACGGGAGUCUCCAAGAAUCCAGGUUUAACAUUCAAAGCAAAGACCCCUCACCUGGAGGCCUCCGUCCACCUGAGCAUUCUUCAAGGAUCUCCUUGGGUCCCAGGUUAUCUAAUUUUUGGAUGGAGCAGGGAGCAGGGGACAGGCCAUCCAGACAGCAUUGAAGGGACUUCCCUGGUGUUGCAGUGAUUAGACUCUGCCUGCCAGUGUAAGGGGCCCAGGUUCCAUCCCUGGUCAGGGAACUAGAUCUCACAUGCUGCAACUGAUAAGAGCUCAAAUGCUGCCACUAGAGAUCCCGCAUGCCAAAACCAAGACCUGGAGCAGCCAAAUAAAUAAAAUAAAUAAAAAUAAAUAUAUAUAUAA